rnacentral:rRNA from 1 species
AUUGAACGCUGGCGGAAUGCUUUACACAUGCAAGUCGAGCGGCAGCGCGGGGGCAACCCUGGCGGCGAGCGGCGAACGGGUGAGUAAUACAUCGGAACGUGUCCUUAAGUGGGGGAUAGCUCGGCGAAAGCCGGAUUAAUACCGCAUAAGCUCUGAGGAGGAAAGCGGGGGCUCCGUAAGGACCUCGCGCUGUUGGAGCGGCCGAUGUCGGAUUAGCUAGUUGGUGGGGUAAAGGCCCACCAAGGCGACGAUCCGUAGCUGGUCUGAGAGGACGAUCAGCCACACUGGAACUGAGACACGGUCCAGACUCCUACGGGAGGCAGCAGUGGGGAAUUUUGGACAAUGGGGGCAACCCUGAUCCAGCCAUUCCGCGUGAGUGAGGAAGGCCUCGG